UAGUGGAAGAUUAUACUUAACCAUUUAUAAUCUGAGUUCCAAAUGAUGAAUUUUUCCUUUUCUAGCAAUUUCUAGAACUUGAAUCCGUGAUCCCAAGUCAAUUUCUGCGUAAGUGCAGCAGAACUUUUACACGGUGAUGAAGAACUUUCUUAAAUAAUCUUUCCUUCCUAGAAAUUCUUGUCCAGACCGUGUCUUGCGGACUCAAGAUUGUAACGUGUUUAAUAGGUUUUAUCAUACAUCUUAGGUCUAGGCAUCUCACCGACACCCAGGGUUUGCUAGUUGUUGUACGCAUUCUCCUACCCCUACCCCACUACCGCUAAGAUGCUAACAAAAGCUGGUCAAUAAUUAAGUUCAACACCUUAUUGCC
rnacentral:misc_RNA from 1 species